rnacentral:lncRNA from 1 species
AUUGUACAUGCUACACUUUUAUAUGACUAGCAGCGAGCUAGGUUUGUUUACACUGGCAUCACCACAAAAAUGUGAGUAACGUGUUGUGCUACAAUGUUAUGACGGCUACCGGGCAACUAAGCAAUAGGAAUUUUUCAGCUCCAUUAUAAUCUUGGGGGACCCCUGAUGUGUAUACAGUCUGUCACUGACUGAAAUGUUAUUAUGUGCUGCAUGAACGCAUCUGUUAAAUGUAUAAACUAAAGAGUUGAAACAAAUCCCAUGUUUGGCCAAUGUAGAAUCUAAGUAGAAGGAAGACAUAGAACUAAAUUUUUCAUCCUUUUAUAACUACAAAUGGAUUUAAAUAUAAUAUUAAGUCUUCUGUUCACAUAGUACAUGGUUCAAAUGUACAUAGAAAGUACAUAUAAAUAUCUGGAGGAAGAUUAUUCCAGGUGGAGAGAACUGCAAGACCUUGUGGCAAGAAGGGGCUCAGCAUGACUGACAAAUAGCAAGAAGGAUGUCAGCUGUGGCACUGGCUACCUUGACACAUCUUCAUCUGAAGAAAAAAUACAAAGAAGGCCUGCCAUGAUGACAAUUUACUUCAUGAAGAGAACGGGUUCUGAAACGGUCAUUCUUUUCCAUUUAAACAAUGUUACCAUCUCCCAAAGAACAGCUUUGGGGUAGGAAAGAACAGUAUUUCAUUUCAAGCUGGACUACUCAUCUACCAAAAAACCAUUCUGACCAAAGAAACAGAUGCAGAAUUACAGUCACAGCUGCAUUCUGCACAGAACAAGUUGGAUAAUGGGUCAUCCAGGCUGGAAUGCAAGUGACACAAUCACAGCU